rnacentral:rRNA from 1 species
GUCAACGGCCAUACCCACCCUGAACGCGCCCGAUCUCGUCUGAUCUCGGAAGCUAAGCAGGGUCGGGCCCGGUUAGUACUUGGAUGGGAGACCGCCUGGAAAUACCGGGUGCUGUAGGCU